CCUCCAUCCAAUAUUCAUAAAGUGAUUGUGGUACCCCUUUGAUCAAAUGGCAGCAUAUGAAAGAAAAAUCACAAAACAAGAAAAGACCAAUGGUGCAAUAAAGUAGUAUAAAAUAUAUAACACAACAGAAAGGUCUAAAAAUGCCAACUCACAUAUUCUAGAGCUAUGUCAGCUCUGGAUAAAACAGCAUGCAGUGGUAUUGUAUCCCACUUGCAGGAUAUUCUUCAGGCAGUAGUUCACAGCAGAAUGAUGACUGAGUAGAACAUAUGCAAUGCUAAAAAAAUAAUCAAUAGUGCUCUCUAUUUCGGUAAGUAUAAAUGCAAAUAAUGGAAAUAUACUUACAGUAGAUGGAGCAGACUAACUGCUUUAUGUUUCAGGUGUGGGUGGUAUAAUCCCCAACUAGGAUUCUCUU